rnacentral:lncRNA from 1 species
GAGGACCAGCCUGGGUGGAAACCUGCUACUGCUGCUGCUGCUUCUGCCGCCCCUGCCUGGGUUGUGGAGAAACAAAUAAGGCAGAUAAACAGGCAAACAUCCAAGAAGAGGGACUGUGGGGUGAGGCGGAAAAGAGAGUUGUCAGACGAGGUUGUUCAUAACCGGAGCCCAGCCUCUCUGGAGCACAGGCUAAGAUGGUGAAGUUCUGUGGCUCCAAGACCCAUGAGAUUUGGAAAGAAGACCCAUAUGGAUUUGGAAAGAAGACCCACGCUCCCACAAAGUGAAAUUGCCCCUCUCAGAGGAAACAGAAAGAUGGCCACCUGCUUCCCAAGGAAACAGACACAACCCCCCCAACCCCCCAGAGGCUGAUGGGAGGUGAAUGAGCCAGGUACCCUAACAGACUCUCUGAUCUCCAAGCUGAGAGUCCGUUCACAGUUUGAUCGCUGCCACCCACGCGUCAGAAUUCUGCAGGACAAGGUAUUCAACCAUCCAUCAGGGUCUGACUCAGAGGUGCCCUGACAGGACUCCUGGAUGCGUCAGGAGCUUGUCCUCUGGAUCACAAAGCCUUAGAGGUUUGGGGAACCUCCUACGUUUAAUUGUGCGGACUCUGCUGAAUCUUAUGAGCAUGGGAUAGCCCCGGUCCCCCCUCCCACCCUCAACACUUGGGUUCAUUUCCUUCUUUCCCUAAAUCCUGGGGAAUGCCUCAGGCUGCAGGGUAAGACAUUCCACUAGACCUGCCUGUUGUUUCAAAUUUAAACCAAAUUGUUUAAACGGGCUCUAAAGCUCUGUCUUAGCAAGCUCCGACCCACCAAACGCAUCCAAUUAUCCACUCCAAUCUGUCCGCAUUACUCCCUCGAUGUUGGCCACUGUUUGCCCCAAUUGGGAAUGUUUGACUUUCUCGCAGACCUAGACAACUUUCAUAAAUGAACGAGCAAAUGGCUGGAGGCCCCGCCCACACGUAAACUUUGCCCCGCCCAAGCUCAUUUUAACUCGUUUCCUCCCCGCCAGCCACUCAGCUUCCACUUACAACCGGGUCCUAAUGCCCACUGUUUCUCCUGGGUCUCCUAGACGGUGCCCCCCCCCCCCCCAGGGUGGUAUUUUUGUUUGGGGGGCAUUUUUACCUUAAGCCUUUAGUCUGGCUUUUGUUUCCGCCCCACCAAGCCUGCAUUUUCUUGCUUUUAUUUCUAUUUAUCAGCUACUUAUUAGGCUUUUCAGGUUGUCUUCAUCCAUCUACAGAACACACAAACUGCUUAUGGAGAUGUAGAUCACUGAGUUCAGUCCGUGUCUUUGGGUGUUGAUAAUACUGGAAAGUUGUCACUAGCUAUUUAACUUCGCCGCAAAGCAUGCUCUGGAAAUGGGAUUUGGCCUGCCUACUUCAGACCCAAGCAUGUUAUUUCAAAGUUUCCCCAAGGCCACCUUCCUAGAUCAAGGUGGCUCCCUGACUCUGUGACAGAGAAAGAAAACAACAAAACACCCCAGGAAAAAAGACAUCAUGGUCUCUUGAGAACCGGUAAGAGGUGAGCUAUUCCCAAUAGAAGCUUCUCUUGUUUACUUCAUAAGAUGUACGUAUUAAAGCCAGCUGAUAGGAUGCUCAGAUAGGAAAAGGAUAAAAGAGACCCUUUGUAUAAAAUCUCUUAAUGCACAACAACACAGUUUUAACGGAACCCUCUCCAAAAUUUUAGAUGAUGUUCAUAUAAAUUUAGUAAUGAUUAUAAAAAAAAAAAAACUCGGGCUGGUGAGAUGGCUCAGUGGGUAAGAGCACCCGACUGCUCUUCCGAAGGUCUGGAGUUCAAAUCCCAGCAACCACAUGGUGGCUCACAACCAUCCGUAACGAGAUCUGGCGCCCUCUUCUGGAGUGUCUGAAGACAGCUACAGUGUACUUACAUAUAAUAAAUAAAUAAAUCUUUAAAAAAAAAAAAAAAAACUCUACCUGCUACAUAACUUAUAAAGGCUGUUUUAUGUUUUGUGUAAGGUCUGCCUGGAAACUUACAAGGCCUAAUGGUUUUACAGUAUGUAAAUUAAAAUUAAAAGAGAUAAUUAUUAA